UUAAAUAAAAAAACCUCACGUACAUAUUGUAGAAAUAUGGGAUUUAUCCCCUAAUUGCUCUAUCUUCUUCAUCCUACGGUAAUGGACAAGGGUAAAGGGAAAGAAAAUCCCUAAAUCUCAUACUCUCUCUCAUUUUUUACGUGGCCAAGUGAUUAGAAUCCCUAAUCUUAGAAGAAUAGGGACAAACCCCCAAAUCCUCUCCUCUUCCUCACCUUCGAUGGCCAAGGGAUUUGAAUCCCUAAUCUUCUCCUCCUCUCUUCUUCAUCACGCGGCGAGGAAGCAAAAUCCCCCUCCUUCAUAUCUUCUUUUUCUUCAACGACAGCAAUGGUGAUGAGGUGCAAUGGCAUCGAUUCCUUUUCUUCUCCAUUCGACGAUGAAGGUGAACUCGCCUCCCUAUUCACUUUUUGUUCUUAUUCGAUUAGCUUCGGUAAUGUUAGAUUGCUGUAUGGUUUUUUUCUUUUUGGGUAGGUGAAUAGAAGGAGAACGAGGACGAUGUGGCGAAAUGGUUCGUGGUGGCUCCCGAUUUUGGGGUUCUUAUCUUCACGAUGGUCACCAGAAUAAGAUGAGGACUCAUCUACUCUUCUCGACUAAUUACUCCCGAACGGGAUGGGACCGAUUCAGGUACCCCUAUGUCUCUCCUGCAUGUGGGGUUUCUGGACGAGAUUGUUGUGCUCAGAGGAUUCCUAGGAUCAUCAAACGCGAGGAUUGCGAUAUCAGUGAAGAAGGAUGCCAUUGGAGUCAUAGGUCGUAUGGCUGAGGCAAGGUAAACCAGUAAGAUAUCAUAUCCCUCUCUGUUUGCUUUUAUGUAUCAUUCAAUGCUAAACCAAUGGGUGACAUGCAUAUGAUAAUUAGGAGGUAUAUUAAUUUAUUGAGAACAAGUCGAAAGGAUUGCUUUUGUGGUCAUCAUAUGCUCUCAAUCGACAUGGGUAUGUGUAAUCUUUGCGAAAUGGUUUGUAUAUGUGAGGGCUAGAUUUGGUUGAUAAUUAAUAUAAGUCAUAUUAUCAUGCUUUAAAUGUUGCUUAAGAGUUUGAUGGAUUAAAUUAUAAUGAAACUUCUUUUCUUGAUGUGGUAUACCCAAAAUAUAAAGUGUUGCACUUUUGAGAUUUAAUGCUUCCAAUUUCUAGUUGAAGACAAUUCAUGAUUUUUUAUUAGUGUGGAAGUGGUAUGUUAUAAAGUUAAAUAUUAACUUUUAAUAGUGAAUGUGAUUGAAAUGAAACUCAAGGAGACUCAAAUAUUG
rnacentral:lncRNA from 1 species